rnacentral:tRNA from 1 species
GACAGUGUAGCAAAGUGGUUAACGCGGUAGAUUGCUAAUCUAUUCUCUUUAAGAGGCGCGGGUUCGAAUCCCGUCGCUGUCG